AGAACGAACGCUGGCGGCAGGCUUAACACAUGCAAGUCGAACGCUCGUGGCAACACGGGAGUGGCAGACGGGUGAGUAACACGUGGGAACGUACCCUUCGGUUCGGAAUAACUUGGGGAAACUCAAGCUAAUGCCGGAUACGAGCGCAAGCUGAAAGGUUUACCGCCGAAGGAUCGGCCCGCGUCUGAUUAGCUAGUUGGUGAGGUAACGGCUCACCAAGGCGACGAUCAGUAGCUGGUCUGAGAGGAUGAUCAGCCACAUUGGGACUGAGACACGGCCCAAACUCCUACGGGAGGCAGCAGUGGGGAAUAUUGGACAAUGGGCGCAAGCCUGAUCCAGCCAUGCCGCGUGAGUGAUGACGGCCCUAGGGUUGUAAAGCUCUUUUACCUGGGACGAUAAUGACGGUACCAGGAGAAUAAGCCCGGCUAACUUCGUGCCAGCAGCCGC
rnacentral:rRNA from 1 species